AUUGAACGCUGGCGGCAGGCCUAACACAUGCAAGUCGAGCGGUAACACAGGGAGCUUGCUCCUGGGUGACGAGCGGCGGACGGGUGAGUAAUGUCUGGGAAACUGCCUGAUGGAGGGGGAUAACUACUGGAAACGGUAGCUAAUACCGCAUAACGUCGCAAGACCAAAGAGGGGGACCUUCGGGCCUCUUGCCAUCAGAUGUGCCCAGAUGGGAUUAGCUAGUAGGUGGGGUAAUGGCUCAGCUAGGCGACGAUCCCUAGCUGGUCUGAGAGGAUGACCAGCCACACUGGAACUGAGACACGGUCCAGACUCCUGCGGGAGGCAGCAGUGGGGAAUAUUGCACAAUGGGCGCAAGCCUGAUGCAGCCAUGCCGCGUGUAUGAAGAAGGCCUUCGGGUUGUAAAGUACUUUCAGCGGGGAGGAAGGUGUUGAGGUUAAUAACCUCAGCAAUUGACGUUACCCGCAGAAGAAGCACCGGCUAACUCCGUGCCAGCCGCCGCAGUAA
rnacentral:rRNA from 1 species